rnacentral:rRNA from 1 species
GAUGAACGCUGGCGGCGUGCCUAAUACAUGCAAGUCGAGCGAACGGACGAUAAUCUUGCUGCUCUAAUGUUAGCGGCGGACGGGUGAGUAACACGUGGAUAACCUACCUAUAAGACUGGGAUAACUUCGGGAAACCGUAUCUAAUACCGGAUAAUAUUUUGAACCGCAUUGGUCAAAGGUGAAAGACGGUCUUUCGGGCACUUAUAGAUGGAUCCGCGCUGCAUUAGCUAGUUGGUAAGGUAACGGCUUACCAAGGCAACGAUGCAUAGCCGACCUGAGAGGGUGAUAGGCCACACUGGAACUGAGACACGGUCCAGACUACUAAGGGAGGCAGCAGUAGGGAAUCUUCCGCAAUGGGCGAAAGCCUGACGGAGCAACGCCGCGUGAGUGAUGAAGGUCUUCGGAGCGUAAAACUCUGUUAUUAGGGAAGAACAUAUGUGUAAGUAACUGUGCACAUCUUGACGGUACCUAAUCAGAAAGCCACGGCUAACUACGUG